GCGGGGGUUCCAGAGUGGUCAAAUGGGCAAGACUUAAGAUCUUGUGUGCUAAGUGCCUUCGUAGGUUCGAAUCCUACCCUCCNCA
rnacentral:tRNA from 1 species